ACGCUGAGGAGCGAAAGCAUGGGGAGCGAACAGGAUUAGAUACCCUGGUAGUCCAUGCCGUAAACGUUGGGCACUAGGUGUGGGGGACAUUCCACGUUUUCCGCGCCGUAGCUAACGCAUUAAGUGCCCCGCCUGGGGAGUACGGCCGCAAGGCUAAAACUCAAAGGAAUUGACGGGGGCCCGCACAAGCGGCGGAGCAUGCGGAUUAAUUCGAUGCAACGCGAAGAACCUUACCAAGGCUUGACAUGGACCGGACCGGGCUGGAAACAGUCCUUCCCCUUUGGGGCCGGUUCACAGGUGGUGCAUGGUUGUCGUCAGCUCGUGUCGUGAGAUGUUGGGUUAAGUCCCGCAACGAGCGCAACCCUCGUUCCAUGUUGCCAGCGCGUAAUGGCGGGGACUC
rnacentral:rRNA from 1 species